rnacentral:rRNA from 1 species
CAAUCUCAGUUCAGACUGCAGGCUGCAACUCGCCUGCACGAAGUCGGAAUUGCUAGUAAUCGUAGGUCAGCAUACUACGGUGAAUACGUUCCCGGGCCUUGUACACACCGCCCGUCAAACCAUGAGAGUUGGCAACACCCGAAGUCGGUAAAGUCUAACCGCAAGGAGGACGCCGCCGAAGGUGGGGUUGAUGAUUAGGGUUAAGUCGUAACAAGGUACC